rnacentral:lncRNA from 1 species
CAGCGCCACCAGUAGCCACGCUCUUGGCCACAACCGCAGCGUUGGAACUGCGCGAGGGGGGAUGAGGGGUCCAACCUAGGAAGCAGCGCCAACCAGGCUCCCCGGGGUGGGAGGCCCCGAGCCGAGGGCGCCACCUGUGGGAUCACGCCCCUCUAGCCGUGUGCUCAGGGCAUGACACGAGGGUAGGCAGCCUUGGCCGGGUUGCCACUAGGACUCAGACCCGGUCUCGCUGACAUCAGAGAUUGCCGGACCCUGGUACCCUGGGUGGGACUUCCGCAUCCUGGGUUUUCCCAUCGCUAGGAAUGUUUUACUGGUAACAAUAGUUGAGUUGAGAAGAUCCAUGCUCAUCCUGCGCGUUUCAGCACCAUUUGGACUGCUAGGUGACUUACCAAGCAUUGCAUGGGAGAGUCGUCUAUCAUUUUAAGUAAACGCCUUGGGAAAAGAAGUACCAUUCAUUAUCUAUAAUUUAUAUACCAUAUCUUAAUUAAAAUGCAAAGAAGAUAUGCCUUAAGAGUGGAGACCAGAGCAUUAGGGGCUGCACAAAUACUUCUUGGCUUUUUUCACUGUGCACUGGGGAUUCUCUGUGAAUGUUUGUUUAUCAGAGAGGCGGGCUUACAACGUGUUGGUUACAUCCCUACAUUUGUUAUAAUAAUUUACGCAUUUUGGUCAGCACCAUAUUACAUCACCUCGGGGGCCAUCAGCGUUGCAGCACAGAGGAAGGGUUCACAAUAUCAGUGUGUUUCUGGCAUUGUUAUGAAUAUCUUAAGUGCCUGCUUUGCUGCACUUGGUGCAGUUGCCUUAAUCAUUGCGUGUGCAAGUUUUCAGUCAGAAGAAGAUUACACUUGGACACAGUUGGCUGGUACUAUGCUUUUACACUAUUUACUCUUCAUUGCUGUCUCAGAACUGAUCAUUGCAAGUAUAACUAUCCACUGGAUUGUGCAAGCAUUGCAGUAUCAAGAAUACGGCGACGAGAGUUCCUCACUAUCAGAAUUCUCCAUCUCUUCAUAAUUUGCAAAGAACCGGUGUGACUCUAGUCAAGAGCAAAAGAUGAAUCGUGAAUUAGUGAAGAACUCCGUAAUUUUUUUCAAGAGGCCUGAUGGAGAAUGCAUUUUAAUGAAGUCCUUUCUAGUACUCCUUUUUCCUACUUCUUCAAUAAAGGAUGCAAUUUGAUCACAA